rnacentral:rRNA from 1 species
AUUGAACGCUGGCGGCAGGCCUAACACAUGCAAGUCGAACGGUAACAGGAAGCAGCUUGCUGCUUUGCUGACGAGUGGCGGACGGGUGAGUAAUGUCUGGGAAACUGCCCGAUGGAGGGGGAUAACUACUGGAAACGGUAGCUAAUACCGCAUAACGUCGCAAGACCAAAGAGGGGGACCUUAGGGCCUCUUGCCAUCGGAUGUGCCCAGAUGGGAUUAGCUAGUAGGUGGGGUAACGGCUCACCUAGGCGACGAUCCCUAGCUGGUCUGAGAGGAUGACCAGACACACUGGAACUGAGACACGGUCCAGACUCCUACGGGAGGCAGCAGUGGGGAAUAUUGCACAAUGGGCGCAAGCCUGAUGCAGCCAUGCCGCGUGUAUGAAGAAGGCCUUCGGGUUGUAAAGUACUUUCAGCGGGGAGGAAGGGAGUAAAGUUAAUACCUGUGCUCAUUGACGUUACCCGCAGAAGAAGCACCGGCUAACUCCGUG